UUGGGAUAUGGCCAAACUGGUAAGGCGCCUGACUCUGAAUCAGGUAAGUGUAGGUUCGAGCCCUACUAUCCCAAU
rnacentral:tRNA from 1 species